UACGUAGGGUGCAAGCGUUGUCCGGAAUUAUUGGGCGUAAAGGGCUCGUAGGCGGUUUGUCGCGUCGGGAGUGAAAUCCACUGGCUUAACUGGUGGCUUGCUUUCGAUACGGGCAGACUGGAGGUAUGCAGGGGAGAACGGAAUUCCUGGUGUAGCGGUGAAAUGCGCAGAUAUCAGGAGGAACACCGGUGGCGAAGGCGGUUCUCUGGGCCGUAACUGACGCUGAGGAGCGAAAGCGUGGGGAGCGAACAGG
rnacentral:rRNA from 1 species